GACGAACGCUGGCGGCGUGCUUAACACAUGCAAGUCGAACGGAAAGGCCCUGCUUUUGUGGGGUGCUCGAGUGGCGCACGGGUGAGUAACACGUGAGUAACCUGCCCUUGACUUUGGGAUAACUUCAGGAAACUGGGGCUCAUACCGGAUGGGAGCUACUGCUGCAUGGUGGGGGUUGGAAAGUUUCGGCGGUUGGGGAUGGACUCGCGGCUUAUCAGCUUGUUGGUGUGGUAGUGGCUUACCAAGGCUUUGACGGGUAGCCGGCCUGAGAGGGUGACCGGCCACAUUGGGACUGAGAUACGGCGCAGACGCCUACGGGAGGCAGCAGUGGGGAAUAUGGCACAAUGGGCGGAAGCCUGAGGCAGCAACGCCGCGUGCGGGAUGACGGCCUUCGGGUGGUAAACCGCUGUCGCCGGUGACGAAGCGUGAGUGACGGUAAUGGGUAAAGAAGCACCGGCUAACUACGUG
rnacentral:rRNA from 1 species